GGUGGGGUGUGGUGGGACAUAACUAAAGUCCCCAGGGCACUGAAGCACAGGAACACAGUCCCGCAGAGUAUCCGGGAUGCCUUAUUCUCUUCCACGGCUGAGUUCCGAACUGGAGUUCCGAACUGGAAACGAGGAUGUCAUCUUCAGUAUUAGAGAAUCAGCACAACUGCGCUCUUUCUGUACGACUGCCAAAAGAUGCUUCUGUAACUACAAGAAAACAGAAAACUUUAGAAAAAUUCUACCAUGCAAUUCCAAAUGGGCCCCAACAUCCCCAGAGAGUCCAACUCGUGGGAGUGAACCAAAGGAAGCAACCUCAGUGGCCCUGGGUUCAUCCACACAGAACAGCUCUCAGUUUCUUCCUUCUGAAUCAACUGCAUCUGGAAUCUCCUGGCCACCACCCUUUGCCUCCUCUAAGCAGAUGUGCAGCAGCAGAAUGGGGUGAGGGGCACCCAGUCCCCGUGUCUGGCCAUUAGUGAAGUGGCAGCAAGUGACUCUUGUUAAUGAGCUAGCGCACGAUCUCUCGGUAACAAGAGCAAAGGGGUACACUAGUGCCUGUCAGCUUAGAGCACCUCUUCCCUUCUAUUAACAUCCAUCAUUAGCCAUAAAUGAAGAUGUGAGUAAAGGCAACCAGCAAUGGCAUCAAGUAUCCACCCCCACCCUUGCGGGCGCGCACACACACACACACACACACACACAAUUUAAAAGUCAUUGCUUUUAAACAAAAUUCCUAUCUGGUUAUGAACAAAAGUACUCUGAACAUGAAAUCCACGAGCCAUGUACAAGAAAAGGCCAAAAGUUUUACAAGUUCAAGAGCCAGUGCAAUGUUAAUAAUAGCAACACACCUAAUAAAUGCAGUGAGGGAAUUAAAACAACAAAAGCUGUCACCUACACUAUCACAAUAAUUUCUAAAAUAAAACAACU
rnacentral:lncRNA from 1 species